CAGGGCUCUUUGGAUCACUGAAAUCAAUCUCAGACACCUGUGAUAAUUAGUCUGCCAGGUGAGCCCAAUUAAGGAAAAACUACUUAAGAAUGGCGUUCCACAUUAUUAAGCAGAUGACCAUUUCCAAGCAACAUGGGAAAGAAAAAGGAUCUCUCUGCUGUCGAAAAGCGUGAAAUAGUUCAAUGCCUUGGACAAGGUAUGAAGACCUUAGAUAUUUCACGAAAACUUAAGCGUGAUCAUCGUACUGUAAAGAGAUUUGUGGCUGAUUCAGAGCACACACGGGUUCAUGCAGAUAAAGGCACAACGAGGAAGGUUUCUGCCAGACAAAAACAUCGGAUUAAGAGAGCAGCUGCUAAAAUGCCAUUACAGAGUAGCAAACAGAUAUUUGAAGCUGCUGGUGCCUCUGGAGUCCCACGAACAUCAAGGUGUAGGAUCCUCCAGAGUCUUGCAGUUAUGCGUAAACCCUCUAUUCGGCCACCCCUAAACAACGCUCACAAGCAGAAACGGCUGCAGUGGGCCCAGGAAUACAUGAAGACUAAUUUUCAAACAGUCUUGUUCACUGAUGAGUGCCGUGCAACCUUGGAUGGGUCCCUGAAGGUGUGAAAAUGACAUCUGUAAAGUAUGUGGAGUUUCUGACUGACCACUUUCUUCCAUGGUACAAAAAGAAGAACCGUUCUUUCCGUAGCAAAAUCAUCUUCAUGCAUGACAAUGCACCAUCUCAUGCUGCAAGGAAUACCUCUGCAUCAUUGGCUGCUAUGGGCAUAAAAGGAGAGAAACUCAUGGUGUGGCCCCCAUCCUCCCCUGACCUCAACCCUAUUGAGAACCUUUGGAGCAUCCUCAAGCAAAAGAUCUAUGAGGGUGGGAGGCAGUUCACAUCCAAACAGCAGCUCUGGGAGGCUAUUCUGACAUCCUGCAAAGAAAUUCAAGCAGAAACUCUCCAAAAACUCACAAGGUCAAUGGACGCAAGAAUUGUGAAGCUGCUAUCAAAUAAAGGGUCCUAUGUUAAAAUGUAACUUGACCUGUUAAGAUGUUUUUGAUUGAAAUAGCUUUUGAUUUCAGUAAAUAUGACCUCCUAAUGCUGUAAAUUCUAAAGAUGAGCAUUUCAGUUCAUAACAACCUAUAAAAUGUUAUAAAACUCUGUUGUGCGUAAUAAUUUGGAACAGUGCAUUUUAAGUUUUUUAUUUUUGAAAAAUUCUGUUAUCAUUGGGAGGUUUGUUCAAUAACAUUCGAAUUCAUUAAACUAAUGGUUGAUGACUUGAAAA